CGAAGUGGUUGAUGCCAUGCUUCCAAGAAAAGCUUCUAAGCUUCAGGUAACCAGGAACCGUACCCCAAACCGACACAGGUGGUUGGGUAGAGAAUACCAAGGCGCUUGAGAGAACUCGGGUGAAGGAACUAGGCAAAAUGGCACCGUAACUUCGGGAGAAGGUGCGCCGGUGAGGGUGAAGGACUUGCUCCGUAAGCUCAUGCCGGUCGAAGAUACCAGGCCGCUGCGACUGUUUAUUAAAAACACAGCACUCUGCAAACACGAAAGUGGACGUAUAGGGUGUGACGCCUGCCCGGUGCCGGAAGGUUAAUUGAUGGGGUUAGCUAACGCGAAGCUCUUGAUCGAAGCCCCGGUAAACGGCGGCCGUAACUAUAACGGUCCUAAGGUAGCGAAAUUCCUUGUCGGGUAAGUUCCGUCCUGCACGAAUGGCGUAACGAUGGCGGCGCUGGCUCCACCCGAGACUCAGUGAAAUUGAAAUCGCUGUGAAGAUGCAGUGUAUCCGCGGCUAGACGGAAAGACCCCGUGAACCUUUACUAUAGCUUUGCACUGGACUUUGAAUUUGCUUGUGUAGGAUAGGUGGGAGGCUUUGAAGCGUGGACGCCAGUCUGCGUGGAGCCAUCCUUGAAAUACCACCCUGGCAACUUUGAGGUUCUAACUCAGGUCCGUUAUCCGGAUCGAGGACAGUGUAUGGUGGGUAGUUUGACUGGGGCGGUCUCCUCCUAAAGAGUAACGGAGGAGUACGAAGGUGCGCUCAGACCGGUCGGAAAUCGGUCGUAGAGUAUAAAGGCAAAAGCGCGCUUGACUGCGAGACAGACACGUCGAGCAGGUACGAAAGUAGGUCUUAGUGAUCCGGUGGUUCUGUAUGGAAGGGCCAUCGCUCAACGGAUAAAAGGUACUCCGGGGAUAACAGGCUGAUACCGCCCAAGAGUUCAUAUCGACGGCGGUGUUUGGCACCUCGAUGUCGGCUCAUCACAUCCUGGGGCUGAAGCCGGUCCCAAGGGUAUGGCUGUUCGCCAUUUAAAGUGGUACGCGAGCUGGGUUUAGAACGUCGUGAGACAGUUCGGUCCCUAUCUGCCGUGGACGUUUGAGAUUUGAGAGGGGCUGCUCCUAGUACGAGAGGACCGGAGUGGACGAACCUCUGGUGUUCCGGUUGUCACGCCAGUGGCAUUGCCGGGUAGCUAUGUUCGGAAUAGAUAACCGCUGAAAGCAUCUAAGCGGGAAACUAGCCUCAAGAUGAGAUCUCACUGGAACCUUGAGUUCCCUGAAGGGCCGUCGAAGACUACGACGUUGAUAGGUUGGGUGUGUAAGCGCUGUGAGGCGUUGAGCUAACCAAUACUAAUUGCCCGUGAGGCUUGACCAU
rnacentral:ncRNA from 1 species